CGCUUACCAUGCAGUCGAGCGGUAAGGCCCUUCGGGGUACACGAGCGGCGAACGGGUGAGUAACACGUGAGCAACCUGCCCCUGACUCCGGGAUAAGCGGUGGAAACGCCGUCUAAUACCGGAUACGACCCUCCACCUCAUGGUGGUGGGUGGAAAGUUUUUCGGUCGGGGAUGGGCUCGCGGCCUAUCAGCUUGUUGGUGGGGUAACGGCCUACCAAGGCGAUUACGGGUAGCCGGCCUGAGAGGGCGACCGGCCACACUGGGACUGAGACACGGCCCAGACUCCUGCGGGAGGCAGCAGUGGGGAAUAUUGCGCAAUGGGCGAAAGCCUGACGCAGCGACGCCGCGUGGGGGAUGACGGCCUUCGGGUUGUAAACCUCUUUUACCACUCACGCAGGCUCCACGUUUUCGUGGGGUUGACGGUAGGUGGGGAAUAAGGACCGGCUAACUACGUGCCAGCAGCCGCGGUAAUACGUAGGGUCCGAGCGUUGUCCGGAAUUAUUGGGCGUAAAGAGCUCGUAGGCGGCGUGUCGCGUCUGCUGUGAAAGACCGGGGCUUAACCCCGGUUCUGCAGUGGAUACGGGCAUGCUAGAGGUAGGUAGGGGAGACUGGAAUUCCUGGUGUAGCGGUGAAAUGCGCAGAUAUCAGGAGGAACACCGGUGGCGAAGGCGGGUCUCUGGGCCUUACCUGACGCUGAGGAGCGAAAGCAUGGGGAGCGAACAGGAUUAGAUACCCUGGUAGUCCAUGCCGUAAACGUUGGGCGCUAGGUGUGGGGACUUUCCACGGUUUCCGCGCCGUAGCUAACGCAUUAAGCGCCCCGCCUGGGGAGUACGGCCGCAAGGCUAAAACUCAAAGGAUUUGACGGGGGCCCGCACAAGCGGCGGAGCAUGUUGCUUAAUUCGACGCAACGCGAGACCUUACCAAGGUUUGACAUCACCCGUGACCUGCAGAGAUGUGGGGGUCAUUUAGUU
rnacentral:rRNA from 1 species